UACAGGAUGUGUGUCUUUGAAGUAAUAGGAUAUUGGGUUAAAAAAUGAGAGUUCGCUAUGGUAUCCAGAGCAACACAGGUGUUCUCAAUUCUAAGCCUCACCUUAAUCUUCAAGCAACUGUGUUGUUCCUCUUCAACAGCAAUAUGCAUAGAUGGCAUGGUAUCUUCGCACAGAUUUUGGUUCUUCGUUUAUAAUUUGCGGGUGGUUCAAACCGGGGAGAUGGUGAACUUGGGGGUGAAUAUUGAUAUGAAGGAGCUUUAUAUAGAGGCUGAAAUUUGUUCUCCAAUUUUGAAUAUUGUCUUGGAACUAUGAAUCUUGCUGGAAACGUUUGAAGACCCAAGACUACAUUAAAGAGAUUGUUUUUUCGAAGCAUUU